rnacentral:lncRNA from 1 species
GUUUUCUUGAGCAAUACAGAAGCUACAGGAAACGUUAAGUAGGAUAUGUCUUCCUAAAUCAAGUUUAAGAUAAAUUCAUGCUUUGAGGUUUGAAAAAUAGCAACCUUUUUAACAUUAUUAAAAUCAGUGCUGCUGAAUGUAAAGCUCUCCUACAUGUAAUAUCUAGUUUAUUUUGAAACAUUUGACUAGAAUUUUAUGGAAGUGAAUUCCACAGGUUAAUUAUAUAAUUCAUUACAUAAAAGUGUAUUCACUUACUGUUAUUUACUUUCAAGUUUUUUUUUUCAUGCUGAGAUUAUCAAACUGAAAGAACAUUACUCUGAGUACUUUCUUAAAUUGCUUUCAAGAAUCAGCACCUGAACACUGACGAGCUGUACUAGAAAAUUUUUAAAUACCUCAAUUUUUAAGCAUUUAAGUUUGCUUGUUUAGCUGAUUAUCAAUAGCACCGGAUAAGUGGUUUAAUAGCAACUUACUUUUCUUGCUGAAAAUGUAAGCACUAUGAACAGUCUAGUAGAGCAUUCAAAAAAUAGUGUGAAUUGUAUAGCAAGAGAUAUUAAAUUCAUACCAACACUGGGAGUAGCCGAAGUGACAGAAGCAGCAACUAACUGAAAUAAAUCCAUAGGGGAGAAAAGUAGAACAAAAUUAGAUAGAAAUCUUGCCCAUCUCAGUGGAACUAGGAACCUGACUCUGCUUAUAAAAAUGGAUAUCUGGAAAAAUGAGAGCGGUUUUACUGCAAAUGAUUCUCACCUGAAGCCUGAACAUAUACUCAGAUUCUGAUGCACAGAAGAUUUACGGUGGAACACUAAUCCCUGCAGCCCACAUGAAUCAGCCCUUUACAUGCCUGUGAUGUCACCUUGUACCUUUACUCUCAAGGCCUCUGGUAUCAUCAUAUGCUUGUGUACCUGGCGUUCUCCACACAGUUGUGAUGAGUUUGGGGUUUUGAAGCUGUAUAAGCUGCCUUUUCUUCUUUCUGGUCACUUUCAGCCUUUACUGAGAAUAUGGGUUACAGUUAUGAGAUCUUCUAUUCUCCUCACCCUUUUUUUUUGGCCGCUGACUCAGCCAGUUCUGGGGGCAUAAGAAAAGACGGAAAGGAAGAGCUGCAAGCAGAGAAAAGAGUGGCAAGGAGAGAACGGCUUCAUUUGAAAUGCCUGCAGGAUGUCAGCAGGAGCUGCUGCCUCAAACAGACACAGAAUUCAUCUGCAAGAUCUGCUUAUAUACACUAUUUAAGUUUUUAUUCCUUCACACAAAUAGAUCAGAGUGCCCAGAGGAAUAUCAGACGUAUACAAACUCUCUACUUGACUAACGCAUGAGCUCCACGUACUGGGAUUCAAAGACUUCUUUCCAAUGAACACAAAAUAAACAGCGGCAUCUUAUUUUAAAUGUAAUGCUA